rnacentral:rRNA from 1 species
CAACUCUCCAGAACAAUCCAGUGUAUUCCACAACUCACCUAAGACCUGACCAUCCAAGGAAAUAGCCGCCGUAAGAACCAUCGACCGACAAGAUUGGGGAUCUGUCACGGUGGCCGAUGCCGGCGCCAUCCACCCCAGCACCUCUCGUCCCACCGCCCACCACCACCACCACGAGCACCUCCUGCUCGCCGUCUCCUCCUCCCCUUACCCGUCUGCUCCGAAGCCGACCUCGGCAAGCAUGCCGUUGUUGCUGUCCACCGACGACUCUCCUGCCUCCUCUGCGGCUGCCGGCCGAAGUCCCUCCGCCUACUAUCACCAUCACCCCGUCCUCCUCGCCAUCCCCUUCACACCCCAUCUCCCGCGAUGGCACCCCUCGCAUGUAUGCCGUCGGUUGCGUCCAUGGCUCCAACACCCCUCGUUCCUCCUCCCUUUCUUGCUACAGCAGGCUCACCACCACACCCCACACCUCUCCCUCAUCUCCUCCACCCUCUCCCUCAUCUCCUCCGAUGCUAACCUCCACAGUUACGGUGGAUGCGCCUUGCUCAUCCUCGGCGACUGUGCUGCCACCAUCUGCUGAUUUCCCCUCUCCACAGAUGCGCUCCAUGGCAUAUUCUAUUGUGAUGGUUGACAUGGAGGUGCUCUGCUUGGCUACUGCCUACCCUUCCCACAGCUCAUUUUGCCCACCCAUGGCGCCUCUCAAAUUAGAUGGGACUUACUCUGCUCGAAUUACAUCCCAAGAAGUGUGUCACAUGCUCUCACAUCUUUAGAGCCGCAUUGCCUUCUGAUCUACUUCAUCAAGGACCAAGCUAUUAGAAAUCAGGAACUUCUAAUGUCCGGAACAUUUCUCUACUACACUGCUACUUCAAAAAGAUUAAUAGCCUAAAGAUUUGUUUCGGUGUCAGUUGCUGCUUUCAUGGCCCUUGAAGAAGAACAAGUCCUAACCUUGUUAGUUGCCACCUACUGUUGUUUCCCCUUUCGUGCCGGCGCGCUGACGGCCAGUUAUGGUGCUAUGCCCGGCUACCGCUUGUCCUUUCAAAACCUCACUGUGCCCACCCUUGUUGCCUACCAAAUUCAAUUUUUCUAUGAUCCAAAUCCGCGCGCCUAUGUCGAACUGUCUAGAAACCACUCUUGCAGCCCAUUAUAAAUCAAGUGAGCAGGCAAAUGGGACUCAUGCUGCUCAAACCACAUCCAAAGAAGCAACACGCUCAACACGCUCUGGUCAUGCUCUUUGCCAAGGACCAAGGUCCAAAAGAUAUUUGAUAAGCUUAGGAGUUUCCUGGAGAAACCCUUUGAUUUAGGAGUGAUGCUGAAGAACUGCAGGGUCAAGAAAGCAGCGGGUCUAUGCCCCAAAUGUUACAGCCCUCGUGCCAACAAAGUGCUAAAGGAAAACAAAAAGUUUGUAUCAUGUACCUUAAUGCUUGGUAAAACCAUCUGCUUGCAUAUCCUGUUGGAUUUCAAACUGACCAAAUGGAGCAUAUUAGUGUUGUUGGAUUUCAAACAUCUGCUUGCAUAUCCUGUAAACAUUCCAGCACCUUGCAUCAUACAGAACUAGCCUAAGGUGAUAUGCUUGAUCUUCUAUGCCUAUUAGUGUUGUAAAGAAGGUGUUUAUCACCAAGGAAGUUAAUUAUAAUAAGCAUCAGUAUAGAAACAAAUUUAUGAUGACUGAAAUAUUAUGCUAUAAAUAGCUAGAAGAUCUAGAUCAAGCACAGAGUUCCUGGCUGGAAAAUAUAUACUAUUUUUUAUGUUUUCCUCAAGUACCAGGCAGUGGCUUUGGUUUUCAUCUUGAUACAGUCAAAUCUUGCUUUAUAUAGUGUAAGAGGGUGAAAGUUUUGUUCAAAUAAUUAGUAUAUAUACUCACACAAUGAAUGCCCUCCAGCAGCAUUGUCUCUAGUGCCUUGCUAUACGUUGAGCAUUUUUUUGUAAUACUUAACAUAAUCCAAGACACAUAUCAAAUAAAGGGGGAAAUCGUGCCUAUAUUUUUGUUGUAUAUACCAAUAUAUAUGUGACUAUGUUUGAGACUUUAAAACACGGUUAUUGAUAAUUUUGUUAUUAAGCAGUGCUUGCAAGAGGUGAAAAAUCAAAGAGAUCACACCCCAUUGGUAGAGGUGAGUGGACUGGAGGUGUGCGGUGCACUGAGAGGGCGUAAAGCCAGACUGAUUUUCUAUGCUUCAAAAGCUGUUAUGUAGCUAAGUUAAAUACUUUGCUUUUUACAGUGGAGAUACUCUGUUAUGUGGUAGGGGGGAUAUCUUGUUACUUCUGUCCUGUUCUUGUACAUUUAAGCUUAAUAACAAUUGAUUAAGUACAGUGUUGAUUUUCCAUGACGUGAAGUUCUUGAUGGCGUGUUUCACGUGUCGAGGCUUAUAUGCUUCAUGAGAUGAUUGGUUUUAAGAAUAUUUCAUCGAAAAAAUGAUAUCUCGAGAAAGAUGAGAGAUAAGGUGAGGAGGCGAGAGAGGUGCCGGUAUCCUUUUGUAAAAUUGUCAUAGUUUACUUUACACCAUCAUCACCAACUUGGUUUUUCUAUAAGAGAAGAGUAGAGAUAGAGAAAGUAACGUUCAUAUGCUAACAUUCAUUGUAAUACAGUGAACAAUAAAGACUGUUAUGUAUGUAGUAGUGAUUGUUUGAUGUAUACAAUAUUUACUCUCCCUAUCAAUGGAAUCAACAGCUUUUCCUUUGCGUUUAAGCAAAAUUUGUUUUGGAGCUCAGGUCUUGCAUGUUUUAGAUAUUUACAUUCUAUGAAUAAACUUCUG